AUUGGAAGAAAAGAAACAGGAGGAACUGAAAUCAAAUAUGUGAUCGUUACCCUGUCUCGGUGAUGGUUGGGAGUUAUUUGAGAAGGAAAGCAGAGAAACAAGAAGGCAGUAUUCGGAUUCUGACGUUCAGAUACAGGAAUUUACAGUCUCAGGUUGUAAAGAUGGGGGAUCUUUUGUUCAUCGACCUGUCCCUAUGGCUACAGCACUUAAGCAACCUAACAGGAGCUCAGUAAAUGCUUGGUGAUUGAAUGAAUGAAUGACUGUCUCAACGAUUUCAUCAGCGGGCCCUUCAUUCACUGCUCCCACCAUUCUAUCUUUAACAACUCAUCUGGAAGCAAGACCAAGAAGAAAAUUGGAAGUCUACUCAUUUCUUGGUCUUGAAGUCUGGAGCAUCUCUCUGAAUAAAGAGUGGGGAUUAUGGGUUGCCAGGCAACCGAAAGAAAAGUCCCAGAAGAACACAGCUAGCAACAUAGUCCACUCAAAAUUUGGAUUUUGGAUUCCCCCACUAUUUUCUGUUUGUAGCUUUAGCUUUUUGGUGGAUGGGAACAAGGGACCUCUGUUCUGUCUCCUUCUCUGUGUGGUUAUGCUAACCUUGAGAACAUUAUGUCUCAGUCUUCAUGAGGGAGCAUGAGCUCUAAAAUUGCAUCUAUGGCGUAUCCAGGGUUCUUGUGGGAGAUGGGAUAGAUGGGGGAAAAUGUGUA